AGAAAGGGCAAGUUGCCCUCUGUGAGUGUCUUUUGCCUAUGUCUCAGUUCCAUUUCAGCAGCCAAUCAAAAAAGCACCUCUUCACUACAAGAAAGAACAGGAGAUCUUUCUUUUUCUCAAGCCUAAGAUCCAGCCACACCAUCCACAGCUGAAUUGGAACCCUGCCAAAGCCCUGGCAUCGGGGGCACCCCAGGGCAAUGGAGAAAGGCUCUCUUCCUAUUCUGGGCUUCUCUUUUGCAAUCAAAUUAUUGCCUAUCCUCCAGAGGGUUUUGUCUUUCAUUUCUUUAAUUAAAGAACAAGCAAGCUGUUUG